UUUCAGUAAGAUUUUAGGUUGCAGCCUGCUGGAGCACAGCAGGUGAAGUUGAUGUUCACUGAUUACAAUCAGCUGCAGACUCUGGUGAAAAAAACUGUGAACUGUCUCACUCUUCAUUUACAACAAAGACGGCGUCAUCGUUUAAAUGAAACAAAGCAGCAGAGUUUUCCAGUGUUGCUAAUGCUAUCAGCUAACAUGCUGUUUAACUUGUUAGCUAGCAGUGAUGGUGGGAAGGUACAGAGAUCCGUCAACAAACAAACAAAACAGCAUCACAGCGAUAAGAAGCAGUUCACCUUCAUGAAGGGAAGAAGAAGAGCUUCAGAUGAUGCUUAGCUCCAUCACACACUAUGUAGCCACGAGGCCACGCCCCCUACUGUCGCUGUCUGUCACCAUAAAUGAACUCGACACCACAGACGAACACUGACCUGUAACUGUGUCCUGAUGUGAGCGGUCAGCAGCUGAGUCUUACCUUAAGUGCUCCAGGACACGUUGAUGAAGGCGGGAUUCUCAUCUUAAUAUUCAGGCCUGACGGAUCUCUUCCUCCUCCUCCCUCGCUGGCAUUUCUGCAGUAAUAUUAAAGACAGAGACAGCUGGGGUUGUUCUUCAAACACAGCUUCAUUUUGCAGUUGAGGAACACGCCGCUGUCACUCCCUUUAAACUGGAA